rnacentral:rRNA from 1 species
GACGAACGCUGGCGGCGUGCCUAAUACAUGCAAGUUGAGCGCUGAAGGUUGGUACUUGUACCAACUGGAUGAGCAGCGAACGGGUGAGUAACGCGUGGGGAAUCUGCCUUUGAUCGGGGGACAACAUUUGGAAACGAAUGCUAAUACCGCAUAAAAACUUUAAACACAAGUUUUAAGUUUGAAAGAUGCAAUUGCAUCACUCAAAGAUGAUCCCGCGUUGUAUUAGCUAGUUGGUGAGGUAAAGGCUCACCAAGGCGAUGAUACAUAGCCGACCUGAGAGGGUGAUCGGCCACAUUGGGACUGAGACACGGCCCAAACUCCUACGGGAGGCAGCAGUAGGGAAUCUUCGGCAAUGGACGAAAGUCUGACCGAGCAACGCCGCGUGAGUGAAGAAGGUUUUCGGAUCGUAAAACUCUGUUGGUAGAGAAGAACGUGGGUGAGAGUGGAAAGCUCAUCAAGUGACGGUAACUACCCAGAAAGGGACGGCGAACUACGU